rnacentral:rRNA from 1 species
AACGCUAGCUACAGGCUUAACACAUGCAAGUCGAGGGGCAGCACAGUGUAGCAAUACAUGGGUGGCGACCGGCGCACGGGUGCGUAACGCCUAUCCAACCUUCCCGUUACUCAGGGAUAGCCUUCCGAAAGGGAGAUUAAUACCUGAUGGUGUUGAAAUUUCGCAUGUUAUUUCAACUAAAGAUUUAUCGGUGACGGAUGGGGAUGCGUGACAUUAGGUAGAUGGCGGGGUAACGGCCCACCAUGCCUACGAUGUCUAGGGGUUCUGAGAGGAAGGUCCCCCACACUGGAACUGAGACACGGUCCAGACUCCUACGGGAGGCAGCAGUGAGGAAUAUUGGUCAAUGGUCGGAAGACUGAACCAGCCAAGUAGCGUGAAGGAUGAAGGUUCUAUGGAUUGUAAACUUCUUUUAUACGGGAAUAAAACGUCCCACGUGUGGGAUCUUGUAUGUACCGUAUGAAUAAGCAUCGGCUAACUCCGUGCCAGCAGCCGCGGUAAUACGGAGGAUGCGAGCGUUAUCCGGAUUUAUUGGGUUUAAAGGGAGCGUAGACGGGGGAUUAAGUCAGUUGUGAAAGGCUGCGGCUCAACCGCAGCACUGCAGUUGAUACUGGUUCCCUUGAGUGCGGUUGAGGUAUGUGGAAUUCGUGGUGUAGCGGUGAAAUGCUUAGAUAUCACGAAGAACUCCGAUUG